rnacentral:rRNA from 1 species
CCUACGGGAGGCAGCAGUAGGGAAUAUUGGGCAAUGGGCGAGAGCCUGACCCAGCCAUGCCGCGUGAAGGAUGAAGGCCUUCUGGGUUGUAAACUUCUUUUAUAUAGGAAGAAAAAGGUCAUGCGUGACCAAUUGACGGUACUAUAUGAAUAAGCACCGGCUAACUCCGUGCCAGCAGCCGCGGUAAU